CCUACGGGUGACAGCAGUGAGGAAUAUUGGUCAAUGGGCGCGAGCCUGAACCAGCCAAGUCGCGUGAGGGAAGACUGUCCUAUGGAUUGUAAACCUCUUUUGUCGGGGAGCAAAAGACGCCACGUGUGGCGUUCCGAGAGUACCCGAAGAAAAAGCAUCAGCUAACUCCGUGCCAGCAGCCGCGGUAAUACGGGGGAUGCGAGCGUUAUCCGGAUUUAUUGGGUUUAAAGGGUGCGCAGGCGGAAGAUCAAGUCAGCGGUAAAAUUGAGAGGCUCAACCUCUUCGAGCCGUUGAAACUGGUUGUCUUGAGUGAGCGAGAAGUAUGCGGAAUGCGUGGUGUAGCGGUGAAAUGCAUAGAUAUCACGCAGAACUCCGAUUGCGAAGGCAGCAUACCGGCGCUCAACUGACGCUCAUGCACGAAAGUGUGGGUAUCGAACAGGAUUAGAUACCCCGGUAGUC
rnacentral:rRNA from 1 species